rnacentral:lncRNA from 1 species
UCAAAUCAAAUGCCAACCGCAGCCACCAACCACCACUUCCUUCGGCAGAAACCACCACGACUGCCACCACCACCAAACACACCAACAAUACCCAACCCACAACCUCACUAACACCACUCACAUGACCCUUGUCGGCUGCCAGCACUAGCACCUCCACCACCAAAUACAACAAAAACACAUAACCACCGCCAAAGCCACCCUCACCACCUCAAAACAAUGGUCAAUUUGUCGGAGUUGUCUUCAUCGCUGUAGCGACAA